CCUACGGGUGGCAGCAGUGAGGAAUAUUGGUCAAUGGCCGGAAGGCUGAACCAGCCAAGCCGCGUGAAGGACGAAGGUGCCAAGCAUUGUAAACUUCUUUUGUCAAGGGACAAAAUCCGGCUCGAGAGCCUGACCGAGGGUACUUGAAGAAAAAGCAUCGGCUAACUCCGUGCCAGCGGCCGCGGUAAUACGGAGGAUGAGAGCGUUAUCCGGAUUUAUUGGGUUUAAAGGGUGCGUAGGCGGGCUGGUAAGUCAGCGGUAAAAGCCCGGGGCUCAACCCCGGCGAGCCGUUGAAACUGGCGGUCUUGAGAUGUCGAGAGGUAUGCGGAAUGCGUAGUGUAGCGGUGAAAUGCUUAGAUAUUGCGCAGAACUCCGAUUGCGAAGGCAGCAUACCGGCGGCGAUCUGACGCUGAGGCACGAAAGCGUGGGUAUCGAACAGGAUUAGAUACCCCAGUAGUC
rnacentral:rRNA from 1 species